GCAUUUCCUCAGCUGGUUCCGAACCCAGCAUCACCUUCUGCUCAGCCAGUUCAUUUCAGUUCAGUUCAGUCACUCAGUCCUGUCCGACUCUUUGCGACCCCAUGAAUCGCAGCACGCCAGGCCUCCCUGUCCAUCACCAACUCCUGGAGUUCACUCAAACUCACGUCCAUCGAAUACCCUCUCUUUUUUUGGUCUCAUCUGUAUCUUGUCUGAGUAGGCACAGAGCAACAAGGGAGAGAUGAAAGUCGCGCCAGUCGUGUCAACUCUGUGCGACCCCAUAGAUGGCAGCGCACCAGGCUCCGCUGUCCCUGGGAUUCUCCAGGCAAGAAUACUGGAGCAGAUUGCCAUUUCCUUCUCCAGCGCGUGAAAGUGAAGUUGUGUCCAACUCUUCGCAACCCCAUGGGCUGUAGCCUAC
ensembl:lncRNA